GACGAACGCUGGCGGCGUGCUUAACACAUGCAAGUCGAACGGAAAGGCCCUGCUUUUUUGGGGUGCUCGAGUUGCGAACGGGUGAGUAACACGUGAGUAACCUGCCCUUGACUUUGGGAUAACUUCAGGAAACUUGGGCUAAUACCGGAUAGGAGCUCCUGCUUCAGGGUGGGGGUGGGAAAGUUUCGGAGGUUGGGGAUGGACUCGCGUCUUAUCAGCUUGUUGGUGGGGUAGUGGCUUACCAAGGCUUUGACGGGUAGCCGGGCUGCGAGGGUGACCGGCCACAUUGGGACUGGGAUACGGCCCAGACUCCUACGGGAGGCAGCAGUGGGGGAUAUUGCACAAUGGGAGGAAGCCUGAUGCAGCAACGCCGCGUGCGGGAUGACGGCCUUCGGGUUGUAAACCGCUUUCGCCUGUGACGAAGCGUGAGAGACGGUAAUGGGUAAAGAAGCACCGGCUAACUACGUG
rnacentral:rRNA from 1 species